rnacentral:rRNA from 1 species
AGCGAACGCUGGCGGCAGGCUUAACACAUGCAAGUCGAACGGUCCUUCGGGAUAGUGGCGGACGGGUGAGUAACACGUGGGAACGUACCCUUAGGUUCGGAACAACACAGGGAAACUUGUGCUAAUACCGGAUAAGCCCUUCGGGGGAAAGAUUUAUCGCCUUUGGAGCGGCCCGCGUCUGAUUAGCUUGUUGGUGAGGUACUGGCUCACCAAGGCUACGAUCAGUAGCUGGUCUGAGAGGAUGGCCAGCCACACUGGGACUGAGACACGGCCCAGACUCCUACGGGAGGCAGCAGUGGGGAAUCUUGCGCAAUGGGCGAAAGCCUGUCGCAGCCAUGCCGCGUGGAUGAUGAAGGUCUUAGGAUUGUAAAAUCCUUUCACCGGUGACGAUAAUGACGGUACCCGGAGAAGAAGCCCCGGCUAACUUCGUGCCAGCCGCCGCAGUAA